UACGGAGGGUGCAAGCGUUAUCCGGAAUCACUGGGUUUAAAGGGUGCGUAGGCGGUCUUGUAAGUCAGUCGUGAAAUCGCUGGGCUCAACCCAUGCAAUUGCGAUUGAUACUGCAGGACUUGAAUUGGGUUAAGGCAGGCGGAAUGUGACAUGUAGCGGUGAAAUGCAUAGAUAUGUCAUAGAACACCGAUUGCGAAGGCAGCCUGCUGGGCCUUGAUUGACGCUGAGGCACGAAAGCGUGGGGAGCAAACAGG
rnacentral:rRNA from 1 species